CACAGUUCAAAUCCAAGGCCAUCCAGUCGAAAUAGUUAAUAUUAUUUAGAAGAGUAAUCACAUUUUAGAUUCAUUAAAUUUGUAUUUGUACCCAACGAUAAACAAUUGCUAAAGGAGUAUGAUUCUAAGCAGAGUAUUAUUAAUCGUAUUUAAUCACUUGUUAUCGAGGUAACCCAGAAAUCACAAAAUUUAUCAGUUUUUCUAAUUUAUUAAGAAAACUAAAAGUGAUAUAAACAAAAAUGACUGCCCUAAUGCACUAGAACAAAAGUUCUACAAAAAAGUUCCUAUAAAGUUUUUUUAUUUGAGCAAGAUCACAAACGCACAA